GCAAACUUGGUCAUUUAGAGGAAGUAAAAGUCGUAACAAGGUUUCCGUAGGUGAACCUGCGGAAGGAUCAUUACCGAGUCCGGGCUCCCGCGAGCCCUCACUCCCACCCGUGUCUACCGUUACCGCGUUGCUUUGGCGGGCCCACUGGAGCCUGUCGGCCCGGUCGUCGGGGGGCUGUUGUCCCCGGGCCCGCGCCCGCCGAAGCGCUCCCGAACCCUGUGUGAAUAGUGAGUCUGAGUCGCGAUUGAAUCGUUAAAACUUUCAACAACGGAUCUCUUGGUUCCGGCAUCGAUGAAGAACGCAGC
rnacentral:misc_RNA from 1 species